rnacentral:misc_RNA from 1 species
AUGGACGAUAAUAGCGACGAUACAUCAAUGGAAUACGAAAUAAAAAAGAGUUUGAUGACCCGGAACAAAUUAGCUAUAAUAAUAAAAGGGAACAACGGUAGUUUCCAGUUUGGUUGCGUUUAUUGUACGUACAAGGCGAACACUAAGAAGGCGUUGGAGAAACAUUUGCUAGUGCAUAACAAGCAAUACAGAUAUCUGUGCGGGAUUUGCGGAACUGGGUUAAAACGCAAAGAACAUUUAGAGAGACACACGCUCGAGCACAUGGAGAUAAGACCUCACGUUUGUCCUGAAUGCGGGAAAGGAUUCAAAAGAAAAGAACAUUUGAACAUACAUUUCGCUACACAUACCGGCAACAAGAGCCAAGAGUGCUUUGUGUGUAAAAAAUCGUUCUACCGGAAGGAUCAUCUACAGAAACACAUGCAGACGCACAACAAAAACUUAGCGAACAAAUUGUAUAUAAGCGAGCAAAUGUUGAAAAUCAAACAGGAGGCCAUGGAAAUGCUGGACGAUGAUAACGUUGAAAUAGAAAUCCGGGAUAACUACGAUCAGCCCACGGUUAAAAUCAAGGAGGAAAACUUUAAUGCUAUAUUCGAAAAGAAUUACAUCAAAAUCGGAACCGGAGAGAGGCCGUUCAUAUGCCUCAUCUGCAACAAGACGUACAAACGUAAAGAUCACCUCAAGCUGCACAGCAUGACGCAUAUGGAGAAGGACAAGGUCUGCUCGGAGUGCGGGAAAGCCUAUCAUAAGGAAGAACAGCUGAUGGCGCAUAUGAGCACACACAUGAAUCAGCCCGCGAACGAGAUAGAGGAGAUGCCUCUUGUGCAGAACUUAUACACCGAUCAGUCGAAUUUCUUUACCACGGAUAACAGUCUUUUAAUACCACGUUCAGAGUACAAGGCCGAACGGAAACAUAUCUGCUCGAUCUGUCAGAGGCGCUUUAAGCGGAAGCAACAUCUCAAAAUACAUCUAAAUGUACAUGUGAAGGAUAUAAACGACGGUGGAUCACUCUGGUGCUCAAUUUGUAACGAAGAACUAGCAUCGGCGUCUGAUUUAAACAACCACGAAUGUGCCGUGGGGCAAGACGAGUGUCCAAGCGAAGGGGAACAACAGCAGGCGACUCCGGAGGGAGCCAAGAAAGAGAAUACUUUGCCACACGAAUUCGUAUGUGUCGACAUGGGGCCCCAGGACAGCUCCCAGGUGGUGCUCGUCAAGGACGAACGCGACCUGCCCGUGCCCAGGCGCGUCUACGUCUGUAAAUACUGUUCGAAGACAUUCAGGAGGAAAGAUCAUUACAAAAUACAUUUGAACAUACACACCGGAAUUAAAUCGUUCUUCUGUCCCGAUUGUGGGAAAGGAUUCUACCGCAAGGACCACCUGCAAAAACACACGCAAGUGCACGCCAAAGCCAAACUAGUUGUGAUGCCAAAGAUAAAGAGUCUGCCGGGUCUGUAUCCGAUAAACUCAAUACCAAAGAAGAAGGAAAUAAAACCGGAAAUUACCAUACACGCCCCAUCCAACUCGAAGCUGCGUGUGCCGCUACAGAUCAAAGUGCCAUAUCAAAUGGUGAUGUCGAACGAGAACGGAGAGAGGCACGCCGUCACCAUCGACCCCGCCACCGACACAGUGCUAUAAACAACAUAGAUAGAACAUUUUAAAUUAAAAUCAUAAUUGAGAAGCGUUUAAAAACAACCGAAAACACGUGCAAAGAGUCAAUAAAAAAAUAUUUAUUUAGUUAACUAAGUACUAAAUAGCACAAACUAUUAGUCGUUUUUCGAAAUGCAUGUAUUGUACAAAAUAGCACUAUUAAGAUUAAUAAGUAUAUUUAUAAAUACGUUAAGGGCCAUCGGUACAAGUUAAUAUGUCUUAAACUGUUUGGAAUCUAAUGUGAUUAGUCGAGGUGUGUUGUUAGUAUUGGUAUUACCGAUAUCAGAUGAUACUAAAAAUCAAGCAAUAUUGUAUGUAAUAUGUAUCUUAUAGAAUAUCAGAUCUACAUAGUAUUUAAUAUUUUUCUAUACUUCGACAUGGAAUUAAUUGUAUUCUUAAUAAAAGCGAAUUCAUAUCACAGAUCAGUGAUAAUAGCUAAUCCGAUACGAUAAGUUGGUGUAUGUAUUAUUGAGGAAAUAACGGGUCAUGAAUUACGUUACUGGGUGAAGCUCACUGCCUACUCUGAGUUACGUGCCCAAUGAAGCCAUUCCUCCUCCCAUUUGGAGAUAUGAGGUUGAAAUCUCAAUUGUGUAGUGCAACGGCUGUCUCACACUUCAAACCUCAAAGCAUAUUACUGGUGGUAGGACCUCUUGUGAGUCCGCAGUAUCUAUAUAUAUAUACGCUAUCUCUGCCGUGAAG